rnacentral:rRNA from 1 species
UACGUAGGGGGCAAGCGUUGUCCGGAAUCAUUGGGCGUAAAGAGCGCGUAGGCGGCCCUGUAAGUCCGCUGUGAAAGUCAAGGGCUCAACCCUUGAAUGCCGGUGGAUACUGCAGGGCUAGAGUCCGGAAGAGGCGAGUGGAAUUCCUGGUGUAGCGGUGAAAUGCGCAGAUAUCAGGAGGAACACCGAUGGCGAAGGCAGCUCGCUGGGACGGUAUUGACGCUGAUGCGCGAAAGCCAGGGGAGCAAACGGG